AAACCUUGUCUGUGUCUCUUGGAACUUGAAGUAAAAACAUUGUUAUAUCUGUUGUUAUCAGUUUAAUAUCUAUAGGUUCUUAAUUUGAAGACUGGAUAUUAAAUUGAUUUUUGAAACAGGGAGAUGGAAUAGGAGCUUGCUCUAUCCACUCCAUGCAUCGAACUGGCAUUGCAGUGUCUCCAAACAAAAAAAAAUGAUA